UACGUAGGGGGCAAGCGUUGUCCGGAAUCAUUGGGCGUAAAGCGCGCGUAGGCGGUCAGGUAAGUCCGGUGUGAAAGUCAAAGGCUCAACCUUUGAAUGCCGCUGGAUACUGCCUGACUUGAGUCCGGAAGGGGCGAGUGGAAUUCCUGGUGUAGCGGUGAAAUGCGCAGAUAUCAGGAGGAACACCGAUGGCGAAGGCAGGUCUCUGGGCCACUCCUGACGCUGAGAAGCGAAAGCAUGGGGAGCGAACAGG
rnacentral:rRNA from 1 species